UUUCAGCUUCUCCCUCCCAAAGUCGAACUGGAAGGAGACCCAAAAUCCAAAUCCAAGCCCUUCAUCUCUGUCAUCAUGCCGCACGUUCACCGAAUGUGUCGCCAUAGCAGACCAACCAAACAGGUCGACAUCCGAGUAGAAGUGGGAGAAAUGGGUAAAGAAAAAAAUUGUGUCUCCGACAAUUGAAACCUCAGAAAUCAAAAGCUCAAAAUCCCUGUUUCCUUCCAUCUCCGGUUCAUCGAACGUGGAGCCAUAGCAGACCGCAGUGGCGAGAAAUUUCUGUCUAAAGCAAUACAGUGACUAUAAUGUCUCUAGGAGCACGGCAGGGGAAGGUGCUAGAAAGUAGAAAUGGGGGUGGAGAUCCAAGACCAUUAUGACGCGACCAAGGAAAUAGAGAAGAGUCUACUGGAGCUUCACCAGAUGUUUCUCGACAUGGCAGUAAUGGUUGAGGCACAAGGGAGAUUUUUUCUACCCUGCAAAUGAGUGGGAUGAACUGGGAUCCAAUGAGAUUUUUUCCUUAUAAAAAAAUGAGGGUUAAUCCAAACCGGUCCAGUCCACUGUGCAAAGCUUCCCUCCAAAAAAAUUAUGUCACGCCAGAUUUUUCAAAUCCCUGUUUUCUACCCUGUAUUUUAACCUGUCCAAGUAGCAUUUAUGAAAAUUUACAUCUCUUCUCUCUCUUAAAAGAGAGGCUUUGGGGGUGUGCUGUUCAUUCAUGUCACACGACAUUUCACGCCUAGCUGGUUCCACUUUUCAUGAACAGGUUUAACUGUUCACAAGAUAUCUGGAGAUUAUUGCUUUGAUUUCUUGCAAUGCCUCUAUUUCUCUUCUCGCAAAGCAAACCCUUGUUUUUCCUCCCUCAUUGUGACGAUAAUCAACACGUAUUUGAUUCAAACUGGUUUUUCUACAAUGGCUUUACGUAUAUCACUGUUGAUAGCCAUUUCCCUAACCCAAUUUGGUUCGUUCUUUCAAAUCUAAGAAAAAUUUCCCCCCCAAAUGCUCUGCAAAAUUGGAAUUCUCGGAAGAUCCACAAAGGGAAGAACAACAGUCGACAUUUGAAUGGAUGGGUUAGCCAUCAUCACCAUCAACACCAAACGCUGCUAUCGCUUUCUCUUCAACUAUCUUUAGAGACCAUCUCGAUUUAACUGUUGUUCAUGGGCUCAAAUCCAAAGCCAGAGGCAAGAUUUGGAAUUGGUCUAACACACGAAGAUCAGAAUCAUCAAAGCAACUAGAGGAGCUAAAGAGGAAGGCAAGAGUGGAGAGGUUUUUUAGCAUUGCCCAUUUCUGUUUCACAACUUGCAAUUUUCACUGGAUUUCUUGGUUUGACACUUUAGCUAUCUUCUAAAAUUUGUGAUUUGUCCAGUCUGCAUUUGUAGACAAGAAAGCAAGGAAAAAAGCUAGGCUUCCAUGGUUUGGAUCGGUUACCAAGGUCGAUUCAGCGGAGGACAAUAAGAAGAAAGCAAGAACAAUCAGGUCCUCGCAACGACAUUCUGGUUCCCUGUGAGUGGCAAAUGAUAAUGGAAACACAGAAUUCUUAAGUUAUUGCAAACCCCUUAUUUUAGGUUCCAGAUGAUAAUAUUCUUCUAUUCAUUCUUUUUCUGUAUUGAUUUCUUCUUGCAAACUUCAAAAAACAACUAUUGCAAGAAAGGCUGAUCGAGUGACCUAUUUAACUUGAAGCCUCCAUUAAAAUGCUGCAUCAUCUACACCAUUGAGAUUUGACGAAAAGACACUCGAUUCUUACAAUUCUUUGCAUGUGGAUGCCACAACACUGAGCCGUUUAUCUCCAAUUGAAUCGAAAAUCGGUGACAUACAGUUUCAAAUGUCAAAAUUCCUGGAUUUCAAGUCUGGAACACUGGCCAUAGUGCUCUCGCUGAAGAUGAAACUGGAACACAAGGUGGAACAUAGGUCAUACUACUCCGGCCCUAGAUGAAGCAAGAACUCACGGUUGGAACACAGAUUUUAGUACUCUUGUUCUAGAUGAAGUUGGAAGCCUGGAACACAAAGCUAGACACAGGUUGUAGUACUCCAGCUGAAGAUGAAGCUGGAAUUCAAGGCUGGAACACAGGCUGUACUGUAUUCAAUUGAAGGAAUCUGACCUUCACCAAGUAAUUGCUGGUAUAAUUGUACAUUAUAUGAUAUAGCCGGGGAAGACAACAACUCAUCUUAAGAAGGUUUAAUAAAUUUAUGUAUGCAUAUCCUUGUCUAUUAUCAUUUUGGUCAUGUUAAAUCCGAUUACUUUCAUGUAUAAAGAAAAGAAAAUUUUUUAUCCAUUAUUGAUACUGCACUA